rnacentral:rRNA from 1 species
UACAUAGGGUGCAAGCGUUAAUCGGAAUUACUGGGCGUAAAGCGUGCGCAGGCGGUUUUGUAAGUCUGACGUGAAAUCCCCGGGCUCAACCUGGGAAUUGCGUUGGAGACUGCAAGGCUGGAGUCUGGCAGAGGGGGGUAGAAUUCCACGUGUAGCAGUGAAAUGCGUAGAGAUGUGGAGGAACACCGAUGGCGAAGGCAGCCCCCUGGGUCAAGACUGACGCUCAUGCACAAAAGCGUGGGGAGCAAACAGGAUUAGAUACCCUGGUAGUCCACGCCCUAAACGAUGUCUACUAGUUGUCGGGUCUUAAUUGACUUGGUAACGCAGCUAACGCGUGAAGUAGACCGCCUGGGGAGUACAGUCGCAAGAUUAAAACUC